ACGUUGAAACAUUCGUUCCCGUAUGCUUACCGAAGUUAAGCAACGACGGGCUAGGUCAGUACCUAGAUAGGUGACAGCUUGGGAAUAUCAGUUACUGUAAG